rnacentral:rRNA from 1 species
GACAGAGGAUGCAAGCGUUAUCCGGAAUGAUUGGGCGUAAAGCGUCUGUAGGUGGCUUUUUAAGUCUGCCGUCAAAUCCCAGGGCUUAACCCUGGACAGGCGGUGGAAACUACCAAGCUGGAGUACGGUAGGGGCAGGGGGAAUUUCCGGUGGAGCGGUGAAAUGCGUAGAGAUCGGAAAGAACACCAACGGCGAAAACACUCUGCUGGGCCGACACUGACACUGAGAGACGAAAGCUAGGGGAGCGAAUGGG